rnacentral:rRNA from 1 species
GACGAACGCUGGCGGCGUGCUUAAUACAUGCAAGUCGAACGGACAGGCCAUGCUCUUGUGGGGUGCUCGAGAGGCGAACGGGUGAGUAACACGCGAGUAACCCGUCCUUGACUUUGGGAUAACUUCUGGAAACUCGGGCUAAUAUCGGAUAGGAGCUCCUGAUGCAUGGUGGGGGUUGGAAAGUUACGGCGGUGGGGGAUGGACUCGCGGGUUACCCGCUAGUUGGUGGGGUAGUGGAUUACAAGGUCUUUGACGGAUAGGCGGCCUGGGAGGGUGACCGGGCUCAUUGGGACUGAGAUACGGCCCAGUCUGCUACGGGAGGCAGUAGUGGAAAAUAUUGCGGAAUGGGCGGGAGCCUGAGGCGGCAACGCCGCGAUCGGGAUGACGGCCUUCGGGUGGUGAACCGCUUUCGCCUUUGACAUAGCGUGAGUGACGGUAAUGGGUAAAGAAGCACCGGCUAACUACGUG